rnacentral:rRNA from 1 species
AAUGAACGCUGGCGGCAUGCCUAACACAUGCAAGUCGAACGAAGGCUUCGGCCUUAGUGGCGCACGGGUGCGUAACGCGUGGGAAUCUGCCCUCAGGUUCGGAAUAACAGCGAGAAAUUGCUGCUAAUACCGGAUGAUAUCGCGAGAUCAAAGAUUUAUCGCCUGAGGAUGAGCCCGCGUAGGAUUAGCUAGUUGGUGUGGUAAAGGCGCACCAAGGCGACGAUCCUUAGCUGGUCUGAGAGGAUGAUCAGCCACACUGGGACUGAGACACGGCCCAGACUCCUACGGGAGGCAGCAGUGGGGAAUAUUGGACAAUGGGCGAAAGCCUGAUCCAGCAAUGCCGCGUGAGUGAUGAAGGCCUUAGGGUUGUAAAGCUCUUUUACCCGGGAUGAUAAUGACAGUACCGGGAGAAUAAGCUCCGGCUAACUCCGUGCCAGCAGCCGCCGCAG